rnacentral:rRNA from 1 species
UGGCGGAUGCUUUCACAUGCAAGUCGAACGGCAGCACGGACUUCGGUCUGGUGGCGAGUGGCGAACGGGUGAGUAAUAUAUCGGAACGUGCCCAGUCGUGGGGGAUAACGUAGUGAAAAUUACGCUAAUACCGCAUACGAUCUACGGAUGAAAGCGGGGGACUCGCAAGAGCCUCGCGCGAUUGGAGCGGCCGAUAUCAGAUUAGGUAGUUGGUGAGGUAAAGGCUCACCAAGCCCGCGAUCUGUAGCUGGUCUGAGAGGACGACCAGCCACACUGGAACUGAGACACGGUCCAGACUCCUACGGGAGGCAGCAGUGGGGAAUUUUGGACAAUGGACGAAAGUCUGAUCCAGCCAUUCCGCGUGCAGGAUGAAGGCCCUCGGGUUGCAAACUGCUUUUGUACGGAACGAAAAGGUCUCUCCUAAUACGAGAGGCUCAUGACGGUACCGUAAGAAUGAGCACCGGCUAACUACGUGCCAGCAGCCGCGGUAAU